CCUACGGGGGGCUGCAGUGGGGAAUAUUGCACAAUGGGGGAAACCCUGAUGCAGCAACGCCGCGUGAAGGAAGAAGGUUUUCGGAUCGUAAACUUCUAUCAGCAGGGAAGAAGAAAGACGGUACCUGACUAAGAAGCCCCGGCUAACUACGUGCCAGCAGCCGCGGUAAUACGUAGGGGGCAAGCGUUAUCCGGAAUCACUGGGUGUAAAGGGUGCGUAGGCGGUGAGGUAAGUCAGAUGUGAAAGCCCGGGGCUCAACUCCGGGAUUGCAUUUGAAACUGCUUUACUAGAGUGCAGGAGAGGAAAGUGGAAUUCCCAGUGUAGCGGUGAAAUGCGUAGAUAUUGGGAGGAACACCAGUUGCGAAGGCGGCUCUCUGGACUGUAACUGACGCUGAGGCACGAAAGCGUGGGGAGCGAACAGGAUUAGAUACCCGGGUAGUC
rnacentral:rRNA from 1 species